rnacentral:tRNA from 1 species
GCCUGGGUGGCUCAGUUGGUUAAGCAUCUGACUUUGGCUCAGGUCACGAUCUCACAGUUUGUGGGUUUGAGCCCAGCAUCAGGCC